rnacentral:rRNA from 1 species
UCUUUCUUUGCUGGCGACCGGCGCACGGGUGAGUAACACGUAUCCAACUUGCCCUUUACUCGGGGAUAGCCUUUCGAAAGAAAGAUUAAUACCCGAUAGCAUAAUGAUUCCGCAUGGUUUCAUUAUUAAAGGAUUCCGGUAAAGGAUGGGGAUGCGUUCCAUUAGGUUGUUGGUGAGGUAACGGCCCACCAAGCCUUCGAUGGAUAGGGGUUCUGAGAGGAAGGUCCCCCACAUUGGAACUGAGACACGGUCCAA